GUCUCAGCCACGCCCCCGGACGGUGCGGUAGGGUGCAGGCUGAGGACGCUGCGAACUGCCGCGGUCGAGCCCGUGAUCUUCCUCCCGACGACUGUGCCUGGGGCUGGACGGCCUGGCCUCCUGCCGCCGCAGCCGCCUGUGAGGAGCGCGGAGCCUCCCGGACGCGGGCGCCUCCCCUUAGCUGCCCGCCGCCCUGCCUGCGCCGCCUCUUCGCGCGCGUGGGACUGUCCCCCAGGCCUCGAGCCAGGCCGAGCCGCUGCUUCUGCUUUCCAACGUGCUAUUUGCAUCGUUUGGCAUUUGGCUUCGGUUAAAGUCGGGACCUCCUCGAAGAAGGACUUGUUGGUUUUGGUGUUAAGUUUUUUGUUUGUUUCCAACAUGGCAGCCUCCAGCCGCGCACAAGUGUUAGAUCUGUACCGGGCGAUGCUGAGAGAGAGCAAGCAUUUCAGCGCCUACAAUUACAGAAUGUAUGCUAUCAGGAGGAUAAGAGAUGCCUUCCGAGAAAAUAAGAGUGUAAAGGAUCCUGUAGAAAUUCAAACCCUGGUGAAUAAAGCCAAAAGGGACCUUGAAAUAAUCCGCAGACAGAGUGAUCUUUAUCCAAAGAAAGUAUUGGACUGAGUCACUGUCCUGCUGAAUGCCCCCAGAGGCUUCAAAGAAGCACCUUGACAAUAAAACAUGAAAUUCUCAAGAGGUCCUCAGGCCCUUCACUGCUCUCAUCCCCUCACCCAGAGGAAUCCAGCCAGACUCCUAAGGUCCAUAUUGGCCAGCUGUAUUCGACUGACAAGCUUAUCAUUGAGAAUCAAGAGAAGCCCAGGACAUAGGAGCCCCACACUUGGAAAUGGCCUCCAGCAGCAGAACCAACAACCUUCAGCAUUCAUUCUGUACGGUGUGGAAACUCCCAAUGCUGGCUGAACACAGCCUCUUGCUCUGCCUGCCUUGUAGGAGCUGAUAAACUGGGUCCCAUUUGUAUCCUGUCACAGCCGUAAUGGGAAGAAAUGGCUGUGACUCCUCAAUCCAGGCAUUAGAAUGAAGAGCUGGAAGCCACUCAGAAUAAUGCCAUGUGUUGUCCUGUCUCCUCUCCAUCCCCCCAUCUUACAGAUCACCCAUGUGUAGAGCUUUUGCAGACUUUGUGUCUUAGUCCUUAAAAAUAAACAGAAUUAUCUCCCUGUCCUUUUGUACCAAAUAAACCAAUUAUAAUGAA